CGCUGGCGGCGUGCUUAACACAUGCAAGUCGAACGGGAUCGGCUGGAGCUUGCUCCGGCCGUGAGAGUGGCGAACGGGUGAGUAAUGCGUGACCGACCUGCCCCGUACACCGGAAUAGCUCCUGGAAACGGGUGGUAAUGCCGGAUGCUCCAGUCCAUCGCAUGGUGGUCUGGGAAAGAUUUUAUCGGUAUGGGAUGGGGUCGCGUCCUAUCAGGUAGUCGGCGGGGUAACGGCCCACCGAGCCUACGACGGGUAGCCGGCCUGAGAGGGCGACCGGCCACAUUGGGACUGAGAUACGGCCCAGACUCCUACGGGAGGCAGCAGUGGGGAAUAUUGCACAAUGGGCGCAAGCCUGAUGCAGCGACGCCGCGUGCGGGAUGACGGCCUUUCGGGUUGUAAACCGCUUUUGUUGGGGAGCAAGCCUUCGGGNGAGUGUACCCUUCGAAUAAGCACCGGCUAACUACGUGCCAGCAGCCGCGG
rnacentral:rRNA from 1 species